rnacentral:rRNA from 1 species
GAUGAACGCUGGCGGCGUGCCUAAUACAUGCAAGUCGAGCGAACGGACGAGAAGCUUGCUUCUCUGAUGUUAGCGGCGGACGGGUGAGUAACACGUGGAUAACCUACCUAUAAGACUGGGAUAACUUCGGAAAACCGGAGCUAAUACCGGAUAAUAUUUUGAACCGCAUGGUUCAAAAGUGAAAGACGGUCUUGCUGUCACUUAUAGAUGGAUCCGCGCUGCAUUAGCUAGUUGGUAAGGUAACGGCUUACCAAGGCAACGAUGCAUAGCCGACCUGAGAGGGUGAUCAGCCACACUGGAACUGAGACACGGUCCAGACUCCUACGGGAGGCAGCAGUAGGGAAUCUUCCGCAAUGGGCGAAAGCCUGACGGAGCAACGCCGCGUGAGUGAUGAAGGUCUUCGGAUCGUAAAACUCUGUUAUUAGGGAAGAACAUAUGUGUAAGUAACUGUGCACAUCUUGACGGUACCUAAUCAGAAAGCCACGGCUAACUACGUG